rnacentral:rRNA from 1 species
AGUGAACGCUGGCGGUAGGCCUAACACAUGCAAGUCGAACGGCAGCACAGUAAGAGCUUGCUCUUACGGGUGGCGAGUGGCGGACGGGUGAGGAAUACAUCGGAAUCUACUUUUUCGUGGGGGAUAACGUAGGGAAACUUACGCUAAUACCGCACACGACCUACGGGUGAAAGCAGGGGAUCUUCGGACCUUGCGCGAUUGAAUGAGCCGAUGUCGGAUUAGCUAGUUGGCGGGGUAAAGGCCCACCAAGGCGACGAUCCGUAGCUGGUCUGAGAGGAUGAUCAGCCACACUGGAACUGAGACACGGUCCAGACUCCUACGGGGGGCAGCAGUGGGGAAUAUUGGACAAUGGGCGCAAGCCUGAUCCAGCCAUACCGCGUGGGUGAAGAGGGCCUUCGGGUUGUAAAGCCCUUUUGUUGGGAAAGAAAAGCAGCAGGUUAAUACCCCGCUGUUCUGACGGUACCCAAAGAAUAAGCACCGGCUAACUUCGUG